rnacentral:rRNA from 1 species
GUCGAACGGAGUUUUAACGGAAGUUUCGGAUGGAAGUUAAGAACUUAGUGGCGGACGGGUGAGUAACGCGUGGGUAACCUGCCUCAUACAGGGGGAUAACAGUUAGAAUGACUGCUAACACCGCAUAAUAUAGCGAAACCGCAUGAUUUUGCUAUCAAAUAUUUAUAGGUAUGAGAUGGGCCCGCGUCUGAUUAGCUAGUUGGUGGGGUAAAGCCUACCAAGGCGACGAUCAGUAGCCGGCUUGAGAGAGUGACCGGCCACAUUGGGACUGAGACACGGCCCAAACUCCUACGGGAGGCAGCAGUGGGGAAUAUUGGACAAUGGGGGAAACCCUGAUCCAGCGACGCCCGCGUGAGUGAAGAAGUAUUUCGGUAUGUAAAGCUCUAUCAGCAGGGAAGAUAAUGACAGUACCUGACUAAGAAGCCCCGGCUAACUACGUGCCAGCAGCAGC